GCAUAGACAGCUAGGAGGUUGGCUUAGAAGCAGCCACCCUUUAAAGAAAGCGUAAUAGCUCACUAGUCGAGUCGGCCUGCGCGGAAGAUGUAACGGGGCUAAGCAAUAUACCGAAGCUGCGGCAGCACGUUUACGUGCUGGGUAGGGGAGCGUUGUGUAAGUGGAUGAAGGUGAGUUGUAAAGCUUGCUGGACAUAUCACAAGUGCGAAUGCUGACAUGAGUAACGAUAAUGGGAGUGAAAAACUCCCACGCCGGAAGACCAAGGUUUCCUGUCCCAUGCUAAUCAGGGCAGGGUAAGUCGGCCCCUAAGGCGAGGCAGAAAUGCGUAGUCGAUGGGAAACGGGUUAAUAUUCCCGUACCUUGGAUAGCUGCGAUGGAGAGACGGAGAAGGCUAGGUGAGCCGGGCGACGGUUGUCCCGGUUUAAGCGAGUAGGGAGAGGACUUAGGCAAAUCCGGGUCCUCAAUCCUGAGACGCGACGACGAUUGCUCAUUCGAGCGAGAAGUCAUUGAUGCCCUGCUUCCAGGAAAAUCUUCUAAGCUUCAGGCUAUUCGAGACCGUACCCCAAACCGACACAGGUGGUCAGGUAGAGAAUACUAAGGCGCUUGAGAGAACUCGGGUGAAGGAACUCGGCAAAAUUGUACCGUA
rnacentral:rRNA from 1 species